rnacentral:tRNA from 1 species
GGGGCCGUAGCUCAGCUGGAAGAGCGCGUCGUUCGCAAUGACGAGGUCGGCAGUUCGAAUCUGCUCGGCUCCACCA